rnacentral:rRNA from 1 species
AAACCCGAGCUAAUACCGCAUAAGCCCGAGAGGGGAAAGCAGCAAUGCGCAUUUCAGAACAUGGAAGGGUCGAUUAGCUAGUUGGUAGGGUAAAAGCCUACCAAGGCUAUGAUCGAUAGCCGGCCUGAGAGGGCACACGGCCACACUGGCACUGAAACACGGGCCAGACUCCUACGGGAGGCAGCAGUGGGGAAUCUUGCACAAUGGGGGAAACCCUGAUGCAGCGACGCCGCGUGGGUGAUGAAGUCCUUCGGGAUGUAAAGCCCUUUCGAC